GAUGAACGCUGGCGGCGUGCUUAAUACAUGCAAGUCGAACGGGGUAGCAAUACCUAGUGGCGACCGGGUGAGUAACACGUAGCUGAUCUGCCCUUCGACGGGGGACAACAGUCCGAAAGGAUUGCUAAUACCGCAUACAUUUGAAGUGAUUAGAAGGCUUCAAAGAAACUUACGGGGUCGAAGGAGGAGGCUGCGGCCCAUCAGGUAGUUGGUGCGGUAACGGCGCACCAAGCCGACGACGGGUAGGGGACCUGAGAGGGUGACCCCCCACACUGGG
rnacentral:rRNA from 1 species